AUCGUUUAUUGAAAAGCAACUAUGGGUAUUGUCUUAGUCAGGGUUUCUAUUCCUGCACAAACAUCAUGACCAAGAAGCACUUGGGGAGGAAAGGGCUUAUUCAGUCAGCUUACUCUUCCACAUUGCUGUUCAUCACCAAAGGAAGUCAGGACUGGAACUCAAACAGGUCAGGAAGCAGGAACUGAUGCAGAGGCCAUGGAGGGAUGUUUCUUUACUGGCUUGCUUCCCCUGGCUUGCUCAGCCUGCUCUCUUAUAGAACCAAGACUACCAGCCCAGAGAUGGCACCACCCACAAGGGGACCUCCCCCCUUGAUCACUAAUUGAGAAAAUGCCUUACAGCUGGAUCUCAUGAAGGCAUUUCCCCAACUGAAGCUCCUUUCUUUGUGAUAAGGCUCCUUCCAGCCUGUAUCAAGUUGACACACAAAACUAGCCAGUACAGGUAUAUAUGCACUCGCUGGGAAGUAAAGCUGGACACACUUAACCACAGAUCCAGGAUGUAUAGGAGAAAACCAAGAUGUUAUCAGAGUGUGUUCAGCUGUGGUGGGCUUCUUGCAAAAACAUCAUGCUAGGAAAACAAGUCUCUAGUCAGGGUGGAAAAGUACCACCUGUAAAUAAAUAGCCCAAGAUGGCGGCAGAGACGAUAGCUUGAACUCAUGCUUAAAUGUCCAUUAGUGUGCUUCUUUAAGGUUAGAUCUCAAACUCAGGACAAAAGCUUAACUGAGUGCCUAUUUAACAUAUUAAAGUGGAUGCUGGCCACUAGGUUCUCACCAACCUCCUGCCAUGUGCACAUCCUGUCUGACAUAUCUGUCCUGUCCCCUAAACUGUCCAGCCCAGGAGCUGGGCUGGGCCCUCUGCCCAGCUUCUCUUCCCUAUAUAACCCAGCCAUUUGGCUACACAGUGACCUCUUAGUCUCCUGGUUUGCUCUUGUGUUGUCUUCUCUUCCCCUCUCUCAAUCUCCCCAUCCCUCCCUCUCUUCUCAUGGCCCAGUUGGAUCUGCACCCUUCUAGAUGGUUCUGGCUAUGCUCUCCCUUAUGCCUACAAUACACCUUCUCAAACUUCUUGGCCCGUACCUAGGAGCAGUCGUGUCAUCCUUUCAUUUUUAUUCAGAGACUUAAAUUUAAAACUUAUGUAUGUGAAAUGUUACAAUCAAUUGUAUAGCAGAGACAGUGUUCUGUCCUAGAACUUGAAGAGACGAUAGCAUUAAAAAAAAAAGAAAAACGCAAAACAAAUACUUUGGGCUACUCAGGAUAGCAAGGUGAUUAUAAGGAAAAGAAUAUCUUUGAAAUCAUGAAAUUGAGAUCUCUUUAUGUAUAAUUUAAGAGCUGGGCAUGUGUCACCACUGGGGAAGCAGAGACAAGAAAAAUCACGGUAAGUCUGAGCCACCCUGGUCUACAAAGUAAGUUCCAGACUAGCCAGGGUUUCACAGUGAUACUCUGACGCAAAAGAAAAAGAAAGCUUUGUAGUAGAAAGAUGUCAGUUAAGCAACAGCUGAUAGGUCAGUUAGUUACAAUGUAGCCAGAGGAAGUCCCUGGAAAAUAAGGACUCAGUGCUAUAGCACUUGCCUGGCAUGUGUAGGCCCCAGUCCAAGCCCCAGUAUAAAUUGAUAGACAGACAGACAGACAGAUCAGACAGGUCAGACUAUAAGGUGCCCGAUAAGAGGAUUUAAGCUUAAAGAAAUAUUUUUGAAAAUUUGUUCUUAAUCAGACUUAUAUGACCCAGGCUAGCCUAGAACUUCUGAUCUUCCUUAUCUUCUAAAUGCUGGUCUUAUUAAAAGAAUUUUGUUAAGUGCUUGGCUUUUAUUUUUUACUUCCUUAUUUUUAGUUUUAUUGAGCCAGUGUCUCACUGUAUCUUAGGUUGACCUGGAACUCUCUGUACAAGUCCAGAGUAUCCUCAAAUUCUCCCUGACUGCCUCAGCUUCCUGAAUGUUGGGGCUAAAGGUGGGUAUUACCACACCACCACACCUCACUAGCACCUAGCUUUUUAAGUAUGCAAAUAUAUAUGUUAGCUAAUGGAUUAAUGUUUGAUAAUAGUGCACACAUAAUUGGUUUACUUACAUGCUCCACCCAAUCAUUGUAUUAUAUCAUACAACGUGGAUUUACUGUGUUUCUGCUUUUUUAUGAUGAACACAUACACUAUUUGGGAGACCUGGCUCUCUGACUCUAAGUAGCUGAACUUACAUGGAGAAAUUAAAGUAGCAUUAUUCAGUGUGUAUUCCUAUGGCUGUAGUUGUUUAGGCUGCUUGGCAGGCAUUGUGCAAAAAGGGUACAAUUACUAAAAAUAACAAGGGUGGAGAGUUGAGGAUAUAGCUCAUUGGCAGGGCACUUACCCACGUGGGAGGCUCUGGCUUCAAUUCAAAUUCAGUAUUACAAAACAAACAAACAAACAGCACUCUUCUCUAGCUAGGCACGGCAGCCCAUGCUUGUAAUCUCAGCAUUUGGGAGAUGACAACAGAAAGUUCAGGAGUUCCAAGUUAGUUUUGGCUACACUGAGUUGAAGGCCAGCCAUGGCUACAUGAGACCUGUCUCUAGCAAACAAACAAAGUUAAGAAGUAAAUUUGCUAUGGACCUCUCAAGGCCUUGGCUGUGCUACUGUACUUUGCGAACAGGCAAAAGGAAUUUCUUGGAACAUUUUCUUGUACAUGCUUUGUAAGGACUAAUCUCCGGGGCUGGAGAGAUGGCUCAAUGGUUAAGAGCACUGGCUGCUCUUCUAGAGGACUCUCUAUUCACAGCCCCAAAAUGGCAGCUCACAACUGUCUGUAACUUCAGUUCUAAGGGAUCCUACACACUCAUAUAGACAUACAUGCAGGCAAAACACCAAUACACAUUUAAAAAAUGAGUCAAAAGGAAUCAUUUUAAAAAAAUAAAAAAUAAAGAAGUCAUCUCUGCCUGCAAGACCUCUGCAGUCCAUGCUUGAAGAGACCACAGACCAGGGCAAACCCCAGUCCAACCCUCAGUGUUUCUUCCCAGUUAAUGUUGACAUGGCAGGUGUCACUAGAC
rnacentral:lncRNA from 1 species